GAUUUCUGGCUUGAAACAUUUUGCCGGCCACGGUUUCGUGUGUUAGUGCUUGGUGUUCUGGCCAUCCUUCCAAUCGCUAUUUGUCUUUCUUCAUUGAUGGGCAAGUGGUAUUGGAUCUUUUACUUUGAAAAAAUUAGAGUGUUUCAAGCAGGCUUUAUGCUAUGAAUACAUUAGCAUGGAAUAAUAAUUUAGGACUUCGGUUCUAUUUUGUUGGUUUCUAGGACUGAAGUAAUGAUUGAUAGGGAUAGUUGGGGGUGCUAGUAUUCAGCGGCCAGAGGUGAAAUUCUCGGAUUCGCUGAAGACUAACUUAUGCGAAAGCAUU
rnacentral:rRNA from 2 species